AUGUUCAAAAGAAAUUUGCACCCUCCCCUCACGGAUCAGUGGAAGGAUUUGGUUGAGGUGGUUAGCUCCUGGCAAUUAUCUGACGAGACUGAUCAGAUUAGCUGGGCGGUGGGUAAAAAAGGUAAAUUCUCGACCAAAUCGGUCUAUACCUAUUUGGAAAGGCAUCUGGCUGGAUGUGAUUAUAGAUGGAUCUGGAAAGCAAAAAUCUCCCUCAAAAUUCAAAUUUUUCUUUGGCAAGUGUUCCAAGACGCGAUUCUGACUAGAAAAGUCAUGAGAAAGUGCAAAUGGGCAGGCAAUCCUAAAUGCUCUUUUUGUGAUAAUGUGGAGACCCUACAGCAUCUUUUCUUUACUUGCCCUGUUGCUCGGGUGGUAUGGAAGACGGUAGGAUGUAUGCUGGGCACAUCUCUCUGUCCGAAUAACAUUUGGCAGUACUUUUCCUGGUGUUAUAUUUUCCUUCCUGAUGGAACCAAAUUUUACACCUCUGGUUUGGCAGCAGUUUGUUGGGCAAUCUGA
rnacentral:rRNA from 1 species